UUGCCCUAGUAACGGCGAGUGAAGCGGCAACAGCUCAAAUUUGAAAUCUGGCCUUCGGGUCCGAGUUGUAAUUUGUAGAGGAUGCUUUUGGUGAGGUGCCUUCCGAGUUCCCUGGAACGGGACGCCAUAGAGGGUGAGAGCCCCGUCUGGUUGGACACCGAUCCUCUGUAAAGCUCCUUCAACGAGUCGAGUAGUUUGGGAAUGCUGCUCUAAAUGGGAGGUAUAUGUCUUCUAAAGCUAAAUAUUGGCCAGAGACCGAUAGCGCACAAGUAGAGUGAUCGAAAGAUGAAAAGCACUUUGAAAAGAGAGUUAAAAAGUACGUGAAAUUGUUGAAAGGGAAGCGCUCAUGACCAGACUUGGGCUUGGUUGAUCAUCCAGGGUUCUCCCUGGUGCACUCUUCCAGUUCAGGCCAGCAUCAGUUCGCUGCGGGGGAUAAAGGCUUUGGGAAUGUGGCUCCUUCGGGAGUGUUAUAGCCCAUUGUGUAAUACCCUGUGGUGGACUGAGGACCGCGCUUUUGCAAGGAUGCUGGCGUAAUGGUCAUCAGUGACCCGUCUUGAAACACGGACCAAGGAGUCGUCUUCGUAUGCGAGUGUUCGGGUGUUAAACCCCUACGCGUAAUGAAAGUGAACGCAGGUGAGAGCUUCGGCGCAUCAUCGACCGAUCCUGAUGUUCUCGGAUGGAUUUGAGUAAGAGCAUACGGGGCCGGACCCGAAAGAAGGUGAACUAUGCCUGUAUAGGGUGAAGCCAGAGGAAACUCUGGUGGAGGCUCGCAGCGGUUCUGACGUGCAAAUCGAUCGUCAAAUAUGGGCAUGGGGGCGAAAGACUAAUCG
rnacentral:rRNA from 1 species